rnacentral:rRNA from 1 species
AGUCGAACGAUGAAGCCAGCUUGCUGGUGGAUUAGUGGCGAACGGGUGAGUAACACGUGGGUGAUCUGCCCCAAACUUUGGGAUAAGCCUGGGAAACUGGGUCUAAUACCGAAUAUGACCACGGAAUGCAUGUUUUGUGGUGGAAAGCUCCGGCGGUUUGGGAUGGGCCCGCGGCCUAUCAGCUUGUUGGUGGGGUAAUGGCCUACCAAGGCGACGACGGGUAGCCGGCCUGAGAGGGCGACCGGCCACACUGGGACUGAGACACGGCCCAGACUCCUACGGGAGGCAGCAGUGGGGAAUAUUGCACAAUGGGCGCAAGCCUGAUGCAGCGACGCCGCGUGAGGGAUGACGGCCUUCGGGUUGUAAACCUCUUUCACCAGGGACGAAGCGUGAGUGACGGUACCUGGAGAAGAAGCACCGGCCAACUACGUGCCAGCAGCCGCGGUAAUACGUAGGGUGCGAGCGUUGUCCGGAAUUACUGGGCGUAAAGAGUUCGUAGGCGGUUUGUCGCGUCGUUCGUGAAAACUUGGGGCUUAACUCCAAGCGUGCGGGCGAUACGGGCAGACUUGAGUACUACAGGGGAGACUGGAAUUCCUGGUGUAGCGGUGAAAUGCGCAGAUAUCAGGAGGAACACCGGUGGCGAAGGCGGGUCUCUGGGUAGUAACUGACGCUGAGGAACGAAAGCGUGGGUAGCGAACAGGAUUAGAUACCCUGGUAGUCCACGCUGUAAACGGUGGGUACUAGGUGUGGGUUCCUUUUCACGGGAUCCGUGCCGUAGCUAACGCAUUAAGUACCC